GAUGAACGCUGGCGGCGUGCUUAACACAUGCAAGUCGAACGGUGAAGGCGGAGCUUGCUCUGCUGGAUCAGUGGCGAACGGGUGAGUAACACGUGAGCAAUCUGCCCCUGACUCUGGGAUAAGCGCUGGAAACGGCGUCUAAUACUGGAUACGAGCUGCUAAGGCAUCUUCAGCAGCUGGAAAGAACUUCGGUCAGGGAUGGGCUCGCGGCCUAUCAGCUUGUUGGUGAGGUAACGGCUCACCAAGGCUUCGACGGGUAGCCGGCCUGAGAGGGUGACCGGCCACAAUGGGACUGAGGCACGGCCCAGACUCCUACGGGAGGCAGCAGUGGGGAAUAUUGCACAAUGGGCGAAAGCCUGAUGCAGCAACGCCGCGUGAGGGAAGACGGCCUUCGGGUUGUAAACCUCUUUUAGCAGGGAAGAAGCGAAAGUGACGGUACCUGCAGAAAAAGCGCCGGCUAACUACGUG
rnacentral:rRNA from 1 species